rnacentral:misc_RNA from 1 species
AGGAACCGGAUGCGGAAAAAUCACACAUCCGGGUCUGUGCGGGGGAGGUUCUAUAACGGGCGUUCCUGCCGCGAG